UGAGGCGUAGCCAAGUGGUAAGGCAACGGGUUUUGGCCCUGUCAUUCGGAGGUUCGAAUCCUCCCGCCUCAG
rnacentral:ncRNA from 12 species